AAAUAUUUAUUCUAAUAAUUUUGGUGCUUAACCGUUCUAUACAUCUUGAUAUUUUCAGAUGAAUGUGCGGAAUGCCAUGGAUGAGGAUAUAGCUGAAAAAGCACCUAUUUGGAAUGACGAUAUGUACUUUAGAUAUAUCCACAUCUUGAAGAACUCAAAACCAGAAAAAGAAGAUGGUACACCAAUAUUUCAACUGACAAGGUGAUAAAAUAUCAAGAUAAAUGUGCAGAAUAUCAUGGAUGUGGGUCAAUCGAGGAUAUAGCUGAAAAACGAACUACAUUUUGUAUUUGCCAUUGCGGUGUUGGAUCGGACUAGAGACAGCAACUGAUAUUUCAGCUGACAAGAUUAUACAAUAUUGAGGUAAGUUGGGUUAAAACGCAUUUACGAAGUGUAUAUCUUGUGUGCCUUAGCUAUAUUCACAGAUUGAAAGACCUCCAAAGCAGAAAAAGAACAAGGUAGACAAAUGCAGCAAGACAGCUACAAAUACAAGGAGUCUAUAAAUCGAUAUUAGCUGACAAGAUGAUGAAUUAUUAAGUACAGUUUGUAUUUGAUAUGACGAUAUGGCAUUGCGGCGUCGGAUCAGACCUAAGACAGCAAUUGAUAUUCAACUGACAAGAUUAUAGAAUAUUGAGAUAAAUGUGCGGAAUGCCAUGGAUGUGGGUCAAUUCAGAAUAUAGCUGGAAAAGCAACUAAAGUUUUUAUUUGACAUUGCGGUGUCGGAUCGGACUAGAGACAGCAACUGAUAUUUCAACUGACAAGAUUAUAGAAUAUUGAGGUAAGUCGGGUUAAAAAGCAUUUAAAAACUGUAUAUAUGGUGUGAUUUAGCUUUAUUCGCAGAUUGAAAGAACUCCAAACCAGAAAAAGAACAUGGUACACAAUUGCAGCAAAACAACAAGUACAAGGAGUGAGUUAAGAUAUAUUCACAGGUCGAAAGAACUCAAAACCAGAAAAAGAGGAUGGCACACAAAUAUUUUAACUGACAAGAUGAUAGAAUAUAGAUUAAUGUGCGGAAUAUGCCAUGGAUGUGCCCAAUCGAGGAUAACUACUGUAACUAUAGCUGAGAAAAGAACUACAGUUUGGCAUUGCGGCAUCGAUCAGACAGGGAGAGCAACUGAUAUUUCAACUGACAAGAUUAUCGAAUAUUGAGGUAAGUCGGGUUUAAAAGCAUUAAUUUUUGCGAACUGUAUAUCUGGUGUGCUUUAGCUAUAUUCACAGAUUGAAGGACCUCCAAACCAGAAAAAGAACAUGGUAGACAAUUGCAGAAAGACAGCUACAAGGACUGAGUUAAGAUACAAAUCAAAACCAGAAAAAGAAGAUGGUACACAAAUUUGAUAUUUCAACUGACAAGAUGAUUGAAUAUUAAGAUAAAUGUGCGGAAUGCCUUGGAUGUGGGCCAAUCGAGUAUAAAGCUGGAACGUAGACGGGCAAGAUGUCAUGAUGUGCGCAAAUCGAGAAUGUAGAUGGAAAGGCACGCAAUUUCAUUUUAGGAGCACCCAUUUUCUUAUAAAAUCGCAUUAAUAAUAAUCAUGGUAUUUCAAAUGGCUAAUUCUCGAUGAUUAUAAAUACAUGUAUGUAAGUUUAUUUAUAAUUCUGACUUUGUUUUGCCGGCCCUUAUCAAUGUUUGUAUUAUGCAAUGUUUUUCAUUUGUAAAUUUAUACCUCAACAGUUAUAUACAAAUAUUUAAUUUAUAAAAUAGCUAUAAAUAUAUAUAAUAUAUUUAAAAUAUAAAUAAAUAUAAUUUAAUCGAAAUACUAAUGCCAUUAUUCAUUACAUCAUACUAAUUGCACUCAUACUUUUUCUAACUAAAAGGUAUCUUCCUCUUUUGUAAGUUUCCUCUUAGUGGGAGGUUCUAGGCAUCCGAUUAGCUAGGUGGCUAUAGUAAGCUGUAGUUAAGUACAGUUAGGGUAAUUAAGCACUAAGAGGAAUGAUACCAUUUAUACUCAUUCAAAUUCAUUAUCACUUUAUUUUUUGUUGUUUCUGUGCUGUUUCUUGAAGGUACCUUUCUCCAUCCCUGGCUUGUAGAGUAAGUAUAGGUAGGUUAUGUAAGUAUUAGGAACAGAGAAAUGGUGCCUUUUCUACUUCGCUUCUUUUCCUUCAUUUUUGUUUUGUCAUUCAUAUAAAAUACAUAAAAUUAAAAUUGAUAUAAUAUAAAUUAUAUAGAAUAAAUUGAUAUUUUCAAUAGUAAUUAAUUGAUGAUAGGAAUGAUAAAAUAAACAUAAAAUUAAAUCAAAAUUAAAUAAAAUGUAACUGUUGAGGUAAUUUGUAUUUUAUGCAUGUUGUUAUUUAUAGGCCUACAAUGAGUUUAAUUGCAUAAACACGUGUGGUUAAGCUCACGGGGCAGUGACAAGGGUGAGAAUUCAGAUCUUUCCUUACUGGAGCUAAUCUCCUGUCACUGUCGUGUGGUUUUCCCCGAGUACUUCGGUUUCCUCCACACACAAUUCACUACUCUUCUCUAUUCGGAAAAUUUUUAUUCAUUUCGGACAUUUUUUGACAGUGAAUAAAAUAAG